GCCGGGUGUGGUGGCGCAUGCCUGUAAUCCCAGCUACUUGGGAGGCUGAGGCAGGAGAAUCGCUUGAACCCGGGAGGCAGAUGUUGCAGUGAGCCAAGAUUGCGCCACUGCACUCCAGCCUGGGUGACAAAGCGAGACUCCGUCUCAA
rnacentral:SRP_RNA from 2 species